rnacentral:piRNA from 1 species
UAGCACUGGGUUUAUGGUUGCUGGU